UGGGGAAUAUUGCACAAUGGGCGCAAGCCCGAUGCAGCCAUGCCGCGUGUAUGAAGAAGGCCUUCGGGUUGUAAAGUACUUUCAGCGGGGAGGAAGGCGAUAAGGUUAAUAACCUUGUCGAUUGACGUUACCCGCAGAAGAAGCACCGGCUAACUCCGUGCCAGCAGCCGCGGUAAUACGGAGGGGGCAAGCGUUAAUCGGAAUUACUGGGCGUAAAGCGCACGCAGGCGGUCUGUCAAGUCGGAUGUGAAAUCCCCGGGCUCAACCUGGGAACUGCAUUCGAAACUGGCAGGCUAGAGUCUUGUAGAGGGGGGUAGAAUUCCAGGUGUAGCGGUGAAAUGCGUAGAGAUCUGGAGGAAUACCGGUGGCGAAGGCGGCCCCCUGGACAAAGACUGACGCUCAGGUGCGAAAGCGUGGGGAGCAAACA
rnacentral:rRNA from 1 species